rnacentral:rRNA from 1 species
GCCGCGUGAGCGAUGAAGGUUUUCGGAUCGUAAAGCUCUGUCCUAAGGGAAGAUAAUGACGGUACCUUAUGAGGAAGCCCCGGCUAACUACGUGCCAGCAGCCGCGGUAAUACAGCAGCCGCGGUAAU